rnacentral:misc_RNA from 1 species
AACGCAUCUUGCGCUCCUUGGUAUUCUGAGGAGCACGCCUGUUUGAGGGUCAUUUUAAUGUCUCAACUGCAUCCCCUUGGGGCGGGGUGUGGCUUGGAUCUGGGGGAGGCAGGCUCUUGUGGCCUGCUCCCCUGAAAUGCAUGAGCGGUGUCGCAUGGCCUCUGCCUAAGGUGUGAUAAUUCUAUCCGCAUCUGCAUGUCGUGCCGCUGCUGUGUUGGUUGUUAUUUUUUGAACUUGACCUCAAAUCAGGUGGGACCACCCGCUGAACUUAA